CAAAAAGCAAAUUGGUCUUUUCUAUUAAAAUUUCAUCCGUAACAUUGUUUCAAUAAGGGCUGUGAGAGCAGUACCAAAUUGAGGCAAACUCUGAAUACUAGAUAUGACCUCAAAAUAAUAAGGGUCGAGGUUAGCUGGUGAGACGAUGGGAGAUAAGCUUCAUCGUCGAAAGAAAAAUAGUCUGGAUCACCAGCUAAGGUGCCUAAAUGACCGUUCAAUGAUAAAUAAGGUAUAGGUGCAGAGAUAACCAGGAGGUUUGCCUAGAAGCAGCCACCCUUGAAAGAGUGCGUAAUAGCUCAUUGAUCAAGUGCUCUUGCGCCGAAGAUGAACUGGUACUUGAACAUUGGCUCAUGGAAUUUUCUCUACCCCUUCUUACCCUGAAAAAGCAGGGGCACCUUACGUCCUUGAACUGGUAACCAUCUUUCGACUAAUCUAGCCUCCUUCGUCCCUCGGGACCAACAAUGGGUAGUACAAGAAUAUUCAUCUG
rnacentral:ncRNA from 1 species